UCUCUCUGCCUUUCCCUCUCUCUCUGUCCCUCUCUCUCCCUCCCUCCCACCCCCUCUCUCCCUCUCUCGCUUUGUCCACAAGGUUAGCUCACAAGACACCGAGGGAAGAUCUCUUCAGAAUAACUGAUGUGAUUUUUUAAUGAGCCUAUAUUGUGUACAAAACACACAAACCAGGAGCAAAUACAUGAUGAUGAUGAUGAUGAUGAUGAUUCUGAGCUGUGCUGGGUCAGAUACCAGAUCCCAAGCUUGAGAUGUGACAACUAAAAUAAUAAUACAAUGGUUUUUCCUUUUCAUCCUGUGGGCAACACUAAUAGUUUGGCCGCUUCUCCGGCACAAUACUAGCCGGCGCUCACCCCGGGAGUUUGGUGUGCCUGGUCGUGAUCGGAGUGCGAGCCAAACACUUGAGUCCCCAUGAAACAGUGGGGAUGGAGGGGAGGGGGGGGGUGGAAAAGACCCCCAGAUUUGGCGCUGGGGCCGCCGAAACUACUCGCCCGCGACCCACACACGGGCGCAGUCCGUAGACGAUCCCCUUUACCGAGGGAAGAGAUUUAAAAAAACACGUGCCGUUGAAGCCUGAUGCCCCUGUCCCACUUAGGAAACCUGAACGGAAACCUCUGGAGACUUUGCGCCCCGACCAAGGUUUCCGUAGUGGAAGCAGGUAGGGAGACGGACAAAAACCUCCGGGAACCGCACGGAAACCUUGGGUGGGGCGCAAAGUCUCCAGAGGUUUCCGUUCAGGUUUCCUAAGUGGGACAGGGGCAUAAGGCUGCUGGCGUUCUGCUAGCAAGCAGGCGCUGUGUGUCUCUCUCUCUAUCUCUAUCUCUCUCCCUCAGUGGACUAAAGGGAGGUGAUGUUGUGGUUUUUAUCGUCAGUGAACGGCGAGACUCGAACCGCUCUCGCCCGAAAGAGAAAAAAAAAACUUCCACCAGUCAUUUUCCGUGCUUUUAAAAGUCAAAAACAAAAAAUCGCCAGAACGUGUGGGAACCCCUGAAUGUGCCGACUGCUGCAUUUAUUUUAAUAUGAAUUUUAUUAACAGACAGCAGUGGAAUUCACAAGGCUUUUGCGUUCCUUACAAUGGCCAUCUUCCACACACACACACACACUAGGAACAUCGACGAUUCAUUUACAGAAGAUAUGAGACAAAAGUUGAAGUCCGCGUAGUUUUUAUUUUCUCUCCAGAAGAAAAUCAAUGAUAUGUAUGUUUGGAAAAUAACCGAUGGGGGGGAGAAACAAAAUGAGGUUGAAACGACUUGUAUAUCCUUUACGAUUCUGUUUGUUCUUGUUAAUCUUUAGUAAACGGUUUGAUGUCGUCCUGUUUCCGCGGGACGAUGUCGGACGCAAGGUUUUAAAGGAAAAAAAAAAUCUUAUGCUCCUGCAUCAAUCCUUCCCCUUCCCCAUCCCCUAUAAUCCUGAAUCGAAAUCCUAACAAAUCCCUGGUUUUUAAUUUUUUAAAAACCCCCCCCCCCCCCCCCGACUAAUUUCUAGUUUUCUCUCCCCAACUAUGUAGGCUUUCAGAUAGUCGACACACUUAAAACAUUACGCUGUCCAAUUUUUACCCCCCACCCAAGUUUAUUUCUCUAUGUACGCAUAUAAGCAUUUUGUGAAGUGAAAUUGCCCCCCCCCCCCCCCCCCCCCUCCUCCCGCCACCUCUCCCCUCUCCAACCUUCCAUGGUGGUUACCCAAGAAUGAUUUCUCCCCAGUAUUUGCUUGCCCAGAUAAUACUCCCCCAUCGUUCCCCUGCUCUUUAUCACACAGUAGUGAAUAAUGUCCAGUGCGAUCCUUUAUCCACCACCUUCGCCCUGACCCGUCCCAAUUGAAAGACCCCCACCCCCCCCGAUCUCCCAUUGCUGAUUAGUAACUGUAUCGAUGUUAUGUUGAGAAUAUGUGAUUUUCUUUUCCGCUCACUGAAGAGAAAGCGAUGAGGGGAACAGGGCAGUUGUUGGCUCAAGGCUGUGCUGUUUAUAGGGUGGAAGAUACAUGCUUAAUUAAUAAAAAGUCUAUUCUUUUAGUAUAAAA